rnacentral:rRNA from 1 species
CCUACGGGAGGCAGCAGUGAGGAAUAUUGGUCAAUGGCCGUAAGGCUGAACCAGCCAAGUAGCGUGAGGGAUGACGGUCCUAUGGAUUGUAAACCUCUUUUGUCAGGGAGCAAAGGGCGCCACGUGUGGCGCUUUGCGAGUACCUGAAGAAAAAGCAUCGGCUAACUCCGUGCCAGCAGCCGCGGUAAUACGGAGGAUGCGAGCGUUAUCCGGAUUUAUUGGGUUUAAAGGGUGCGCAGGCGGAAUGUCAAGUCAGCGGUAAAAUUUCGGGGCUCAACCCCGUCGUGCCGUUGAAACUGGCGUUCUUGAGUGAGCGAGAAGUAUGCGGAAUGCGUGGUGUAGCGGUGAAAUGCAUAGAUAUCACGCAGAACUCCGAUUGCGAAGGCAGCAUACCGGCGCUCAACUGACGCUCAUGCACGAAAGCGUGGGUAUCGAACAGGAUUAGAUACCCCUGUAGUC